rnacentral:rRNA from 1 species
AACGAACGCUGGCGGCAUGCCUAACACAUGCAAGUCGAACGAGACCUUCGGGUCUAGUGGCGCACGGGUGCGUAACGCGUGGGAACCUGCCCUUAGGUUCGGAAUAACUCCCCGAAAGGGGUGCUAAUACCGGAUAAUGUCUUCGGACCAAAGAUUUAUCGCCUUUGGAUGGGCCCGCGUUGGAUUAGCUAGUUGGUAGGGUAAAAGCCUACCAAGGCGACGAUCCAUAGCUGGUCUGAGAGGAUGAUCAGCCACACUGGGACUGAGACACGGCCCAGACUCCUACGGGAGGCAGCAGUGGGGAAUAUUGGACAAUGGGCGAAAGCCUGAGCCAGCAAUGCCGCGUGAGUGAUGAAGGCCUUAGGGUUGUAAAGCUCUUUUACCCGGGAUGAUAAUGACAGGACCGGGAGAAUAAGCUCCGGCUAACUCCG